rnacentral:rRNA from 1 species
AUACGGAGGAUCCAAGCGUUAUCCGGAUUUAUUGGGUUUAAAGGGUGCGUAGGCGGACUGGUAAGUCAGCUGUGAAAGUUUGCGGCUUAACCGUAAAAUUGCAGUUGAUACUGUCAGUCUUGAGUGUGCAUGAGGUGGGCGGAAUUUGUGGUGUAGCGGUGAAAUGCUUAGAUAUCACGAGGAACUCCAAUUGCGAAGGCAGCUCACUGGGGCAUAACUGACGCUGAUGCACGAAGGUGUGGGUAUCAAACAGGAUUAGAUACCCUGGUAGUCCACCCAGUAAACUAUGAAUACUCGCUGUUUGCGAUAUACAGUAAGCGGCCAAGCGAAAGCAUUAAGUAUUCCACCUGGGGAGUACGCCGGCAACGGUGAAACUCAAAUGAAUUGACGGGG